rnacentral:rRNA from 1 species
GCCUAGCCCUAAACCUCAACAGUUAAAUCAACAAAACUGCUCGCCAGAACACUACGAGCCACAGCUUAAAACUCAAAGGACCUGGCGGUGCUUUAUAUCCUUC